UCCGGUCAACCGCCCAGACGUUUGGGGGACAUCCGGGAGGAUGAUCGGGUUAGCCAAAUUUUCCCCCUGGAAAGGAGUUUUCAAAAGUAAGUAUGGAAUUAUAAUUUGAAAAUUCAAAAUAAACACCACACUCAAAUCAGUGGGUAGAAAUGUGUUUGGAACACCUAACCAAACACAGCCUAAAUGUUUCUGGUGCAUCCAUCGAAGUGGAUGUCUGAGUUGAUGCAUCUUGAAUAGUGAGAAUGCAAGAAACAGUAAAUGUUUCAUGCAAGCUUAUGUGGUAGUUCCUUGGAUCUUGAAUUAGCAAAUUUGUUUUUUAAAUCGAAUUGCUUCCAUGAAAUUUUAAUAAAUGUAUCAGAAUUUUUUUUACCUUGUGAUAAUCUGAAUAGGCUUGGGAAUUCCUCUUACCUUAUACUCUGACUUAUGCAUUUAAUAAUAGGUGAGAUGUGGCAAGAAUAAGUUGAAUAGGGAGAAGUUAAAAGUCUUCCACACUGUUGGCUCGAAGGCCUUCAGAAAAGUGCAAUAUGAUGAGCGAGACCGUGCCACUGGAGAGGAACUUGGACUUGUUGAGUUGUACAAAAAGACGCAUUUUAGUGAGAAAAAAGAGGCAUGGGUGCAUGCUGAUAUUGAGAUUAGACAUUACAAGCUUGAAAAGCGGUCGGAGAAAGCUAUUGAAGAUGGAUCUUACCCGCUAUUUGAUAAACAACUUUCUAUUGGGGUAUUUGGACAAAAAGUUAGCUACAUACGAGGCUUAGGGCGUGGUUGAAAACCAAGUACAACAUUAUCUAGAAAACGUACCCGUGCCCAACUUGAGAGGGAUAAUGAGGCUGCUACAAGGGAGACUAAAGAGCAACAAAGAAUCAAUGAGGAGCUGGUGGAAAUAAUUCAAAUCUUAGAGUCCGGUUGCACGGAAUACAAUGCCAAAAUUGACUUCUUGAUGUAGCAAAUUAGUCGAAGAGGACCCUCUACUGAUUCUUCUUCUUAAUUGAAAUUUAAAUGUGCACUUUGAAGGCUUGGGAGCUCUUUGCGAGAUUUUGAAUGACAUUUCAAUGAAGCCCUUGGGAAGAAGAUGUGAUGGAUGAGUAGUUCUGUUUUGUAGGUAGCCUUAUAAAUUGGAAACAAUGCUUAUGGCACUAGCCUUAUAAAUUGAAUAGUUGAAUGCUACAAACAAUACUUAUGGCACUAUCCUUGUAAAUUGGUAAUGAUACUUUUGAAAUCUCUAUCAGUUUAUGAUAUACAAUCAAAUAUUACGUAUUAAUGAAUCAAA